UACGUAGGUGGCAAGCGUUGUCCGGAUUUACUGGGCGUAAAGAGCGCGCAGGCGGUCGUCCAAGUCGCGUGUGAAAGCCCCCGGCUCAACCGGGGAGGGUCGUCGGGGACGGGAUCGCUUGAGGACGGCAGGGGCAGGUGGAAUUCCCGGUGUAGUGGUGAAAUGCGUAGAGAUCGGGAGGAACACCCGUGGCGAAGGCGGCCUGCUGGGCCGAUCCUGACGCUGAGGCGCGAAGGCGUGGGGAGCGAACGGG
rnacentral:rRNA from 1 species